rnacentral:rRNA from 1 species
AGAGUUUGAUCCUGGCUCAGAUUGAACGCUGGCGGCAGGCCUAACACAUGCAAGUCGAGCGGUAGAGAGAAGCUUGCUUCUCUUGAGAGCGGCGGACGGGUGAGUAAUGCCUAGGAAUCUGCCUGGUAGUGGGGGAUAACGUUCGGAAACGGACGCUAAUACCGCAUACGUCCUACGGGAGAAAGCAGGGGACCUUCGGGCCUUGCGCUAUCAGAUGAGCCUAGGUCGGAUUAGCUAGUUGGUGAGGUAAUGGCUCACCAAGGCGACGAUCCGUAACUGGUCUGAGAGGAUGAUCAGUCACACUGGAACUGAGACACGGUCCAGACUCCUACGGGAGGCAGCAGUGGGGAAUAUUGGACAAUGGGCGAAAGCCUGAUCCAGCCAUGCCGCGUGUGUGAAGAAGGUCUUCGGAUUGUAAAGCACUUUAAGUUGGGAGGAAGGGUUGUAGAUUAAUACUCUGCAAUUUUGACGUUACCGACAGAAUAAGCACCGGCUAACUCUGUGCCAGCAGCCGCGGAAAUACAGAGGGUGCAAGCGUUAAUCGGAAUUACUGGGCGUAAAGCGCGCGUAGGUGGUUUGUUAAGUUGGAUGUGAAAUCCCCGGGCUCAACCUGGGAACUGCAUUCAAAACUGACUGACUAGAGUAUGGUAGAGGGUGGUGGAAUUUCCUGUGUUGCGGUGAAAUGCGUAGAUAUAGGAAGGAACACCAGUGGCGAAGGCGACCACCUGGACUAAUACUGACACUGAGGUGCGAAAGCGUGGGGAGCAAACAGGAUUAGAUACCCUGGUAGUCC